UUUGUCACGUAGUGAUCGUCUUCUCAAUAGAACAUCUUUGAUAAUGUCUUCUGGCCAAUCAGAAUCACGUAUCAUCAGGGAAAACAGGAUGCACUACAUGUCCCUCUUUGCCCCUCAGACUGCAGACGAGCGGCUCUCGAGGCAGGGGUCGGGGUCCUCAUCAAACACCUCAAUAAAAACGCAGUGUUGGGUCUUCGGAAGUACGCUAAAGCCCGGGGCUUUGCUGUUGAGAUCCCACUGGUGGGCCAGUCCGGGCCAGUCCGGGCCCCCGCACAAGCCCAAAAGGACUCCCAGACCCUCGAUCUGGAGCAGGAGCGCCUCAAAGUGUUGCUGCGUAUGAAAACAAAGCAGCUGCACUGGCAGGAGAAGAAGAUGCUGGAGAUCGACAAACUGACAAAGAAGAGUGUGAAGAUGAUGAGAGCCAGCAGGAGAGCGAGGACCUGAAGGCUCUCAUGGAGAGACACUGCGCUCUGUCCAGGUGUCCCCCACCCCCACCUCCCCUCGCGCUCCUUCAGCCUCCAGAUAACGAUGGGCCUCCGCUUCCUGGAAGCUCGACCUCUCUUGAGUUAUCCCACUUACAAAGCAAGGCGCCCUGUUUUAUGCCUUUCACGUCUGAUGGAUGGGGGAGAAGGAAAUCUCAGGACUACUAUGUAAUGAUACACUAUUUGUGUUACUUGUUGGAGAGGCUCACACUCACACACACACACACACACACACACACACACACACUACAUGCAGUAAAAGAUACACACAUGUUGACACGAAUGGAAAUCCAGAAAAGAGUAUUUUGUGUGGAUUUGUUAUUAUUGGUUUGUUGACCCUG